AAUCAACGCUGGCGGCGUGCCUAACACAUGCAAGUCGAACGAGAAAGUGGAGCAAUCCAUGAGUAAAGUGGCGACCGGGUGAGUAACACGUGACUAACCUGCCCUAGAGUGGGGGAUAACCUCGGGAAACCGGGGCUAAUACCGCAUAACAUCACGAGGGGAAAAUCCUUGUGAUCAAAGGAGCAAUUCGCUCCGGGAGG
rnacentral:rRNA from 1 species